UCUGCAGGAUUUACGCGCACGUUGGAACCGAAGAGAGCUCUGUUGUUGCAAUGUUCAGCCCACAAGAGCUUACUGGUGAAGGAAUGGGACAAGACCCAUCUUUAUGCAAAGCCAGCGUUACAGUAAUGUUCCAGGUAUUCCUGAUGACAGUCUGCCUCUAUCUUACAGUACUACUAACCAAUAACCUGCUUGGCUCAAAGGGCCAGCACCUUCUCUCUAAAGCCCAAGAGGAGUUUGAGGAAAACUAGGUGUCUGUGUUCACUCCAGGCUGAAGUUACAGGUCUGAGCAAAUAAGGUGUAUAAAAAAUGGAAUCUGUCUUGGAGGACAUCAGAAGGUGAAUUUUCCAAGUUCUUGGACAACCUAGCUGUUGAAAAGCUUUCUGGGUUUGGGGGGUAUUUCAGAUGUACCUUAAAGUGUUAGCAGACACAGAUUAAGACACUGGGAGCCAAUGAAACAGCAGUUGAGGGUUUGCUGUGUAUCACAUUUCUGUAUUUUAUCACCCCCUUCCUGCAACAUUAUUUAUCUGGAAUCUACCUGCCCUUUUGUUUUUUAGAUACAAGGGCUUGGUUUUGUUACCCAGGCUGGUUUCAAGGCCAUAGCUUUAAGAGAUCCUCUCACCACAGAUUUCCAAAGUGCUGGGAUUGCAGGUGUGAUUCAUGGCACCCAGACUUUGCUGCCUUUCUUACAUGAUCCAGGCCCAGAACCCAAACUCAGGCACUGUAUAGAUGACCACUUUCG
rnacentral:lncRNA from 1 species